rnacentral:rRNA from 1 species
GACAGAGGUGCCAAGCGUUAGGCGGAAUCACUGGGCUUAAAGCGUGUGUAGGUGGAUUUGUAAGUACCUUGUGAAAUCCCAUGGCUCAACCAUGGAACUGCUCGGUAUACUGCGAAUCUUGAGCCACUUAGGGGCUACCGGAACAAAUGGUGGAGCGGUGAAAUGCGUAGAUAUCAUUUGGAACGCCAAUGGUGAAAACAGGUAGCUGGGAGUGUGCUGACACUGAGACACGAAAGCCAGGGGAGCGAACGGGAUUAGAUACCCCGGUAGUCCUGGCCGUAAACGAUGUCCACUAGAUCGUGGUGGCUCUGACGCCAUCAUGGUCGAAGCAAAAGUGCUAAGUGGACCGCCUGGGAAGUACGGUCGCAAGGCUAAA